UACGUAGGGUCCGAGCGUUGUCCGGAAUUAUUGGGCGUAAAGAGCUCGUAGGCGGUCUGUCGCGUCUGCUGUGAAAAACUCGGGGGCUUAACCCCGGGCCUGCAGUGGGUACGGGCAGACUAGAGUGCGGUAGGGGAGACUGGAAUUCCCGGUGUAGCGGUGAAAUGCGCAGAUAUCAGGAGGAACACCGGUGGCGAAGGCGGAUCUCUGGGCCAUUACUGACGCUGAGGAGCGAAAGCGUGGGGAGCGAACAGG
rnacentral:rRNA from 1 species